CAAUGGCCUCCGCGCUUCGCGGGAGUCCUCCCGGCUAAGCGAAACCCCGGCUCCUGUUUGCAAAACAGAUUUUUAAUGCCGGUCACAAUGCCAGGUGGAGGACGCUCAACGGCUCUGAGUCUGCCAUGAAGAUGAAUGUGUGCACACGCACACACACAAUCCCAGACCACAGAGAACACCAUCAACACUGCUGACUCCCAUCUCUUGUUUUCGUGGCCCUUGGCUACCACGACUGCUGCCUGUUACCUAAUUGCAAUAAGGACUUGAGCAUUCACUUG